AGCGAACGCUGGCGGCAUGCUUAACACAUGCAAGUCGCACGGUCGGGUUUCGGCCCGGCAGUGGCGGACGGGUGAGUAACGCGUAGGUAUCUAUCCUUGGGAUGGGGGACGAACCGUCGGGAAACGUAACGGCUAAUACCGCAUGACGACCGAGGUCCAAAGGACCGCGAGGCCGUCUGGGGAGGAGCCUGCGUCCGAUUAGCUAGUUGGUGGGGUAACGGGCCUACCAAGGCGGUGAUCGGUAGCUGGUCNGAGAGGAUGAUCAGCCACACUGGGACUGAGAUACGGCCCAGACUCCUACGGGAGGCAGCAGUGAGGAAUAUUCCACAAUGGCCGAAAGGCUGAUGGAGCGACGCCGCGUGAAGGAAGAAG
rnacentral:rRNA from 1 species